AAUCCUAAUUUGUCUGUUCCUCUUGGGGAUCCUUCUGCCAGCCACAUAGAUGGUCACAGUUAUGUGAUACCAGGGUUGAGCAGACAUCACUAUGAUCAAUCGAUGAACCUGUUGCAACAGACCAAGUUAGGAGAUUCCAGUGAUCAAGCUCCUCCUCCCAUGUGUGCUGCUAAUUUUGCUGGUACAAUGUUGACUGAGAGUCUUGUUUCUGUUUCCAAAUUGUGCAUGCUUACAUACAUUAAUUCUGUCACCUUGAUCAUUGAUUCAGGGGCAUCUAACCAGAUGACACAUGAUAAAAACCUACUUUUUAACAUCAUACCUUUGACUGUUCCUUAUCUUGUGACUUUACCUAAUGGUUACAAAGUAAAAGUAACUUGUACAGGUUCUUUUUCAUUAACUUCUUCCCCUACUCUUUGACUGUUCCUUAUCUUGUGACUUUACCUAAUGGUUACAAAGUAAAAGUAACUUGUACAGGUUCUUUUUCAUUAACUUCUUCCCUUACUCUUCAUAAUGUGCUUCUGGUUCCUUCCUUUAAACACAACUUGAUUUUUGUUCACAAGUUGAUUAAACAGUUGCACUGUAUAGUUUUGUUCACUCUAACUUCCUGUUUACUUCACAUGAUACAGGACUCUUCUCUGAAGAGGCCUCUGGAUCUUGGUAAAGAGGAAGCUGGCUUAUACAAACUGUCUUGGUUGCCUCCUUCCUCUUCUCCCUCUUCUGUUUCUCCUUUUACUUCUGUGUGUGCUUUGUCUAAUUUUUGUAAUGAUGACACUUUUUCUGACAGCAAAAAUGUUGCCUUACCUCCACUUGUAAGCAAUUCCACUUGUAAUAAUGCUGUUAUCAAUGAUAUGAAUUACAUUUGGCAUUUAAGAAUGGCACAUACUCCCUGUGCUAAUAUGAGACAUAUUGCUGGUUUGUCUUUUCCCCUUGCUCCUAAACAACCCUUUCCCUGUUCUGUCUGCCCUAUGGCAAAGCAGACAAGACUUCCCUUUCAUGACAGCAGUAUCAGUACAACUAGACCAUUUCAAUUAAUACAUGUGGACACUUGGGGACCUUACCACACUUCUACCUCUUCUGGUUAUAAAUAGUUCCUUACUAUAGUUGAUGACUUUUCUAGGGCAACCUGGACACACUUAAUGGGCUCCAAAAGCAAUGCCUUUUCUCUUCUUAAGUCUUUCAUUUCCUUUGUUAAGACUCUGUUUAACUCUGUGGUUCAGACUGUCAGAAGUAACAAUGCCUUAGAAUGGGCUCCAGCACUGAGGGCAUAUCCUUUUUUAGUAGCCAGGGGAUUAUUCAUCAAACUUCUUACCCUCAUUCACCUCAACAGAAUGGUGUUGUAGAAUGAAAACACAGAACACUUCUUGAAACAUGUAGAGCCCUGCUUUUUCAGUCUGGCCUACCUGUGUCCUUCUGGGGGGAUUGACUGCUAACUGCCUCCUAUCUUCUUAACAGAAUACCUUCCAGAAUCCUUCACCAUAAGUCUCCCCAUGAAAUUUUGUAUGGCAAAGCUCCAUCAUAUUCCCAUUUGGAAUUCUUCACCAUAAGUCUCCCCAUGAAAUUUUGUAUGGCAAAGCUCCAUCCUAUUCUCAUUUGAGAGCAUUUGGAUGCCUUGCUUAUGCUGUUGUCCCUAUCCCUAAAAGGGACAAGAUGAAACCUAGAGCCCAUUCUUGUGUGUUUCUGGGUUACCCCUUUGCUAAGAAGGGUUAUAAACUGUAUGACUUGGUUACCGAGAAGUGUUUUGUUUUAAGGGAUGUUGUCUUUCAUGAAUCCUGUUUUCCUUUUUAGAAUAAUCCUACUUUUGUUCAUCCUUCUUCUUCCUCUGUUCCUCCUGUUCCUCCUGCUGAUGAUUUUACUGUCUCAGGCUUUCCUCUCUUUACUUCCCCUGAUUCUCCUGUCCUUCCUUCUAAUUCUGAUUCUCCUGCACCUACUUUUCCUGAUGCUGGUCCUUCUUCCCUUCCUUCUUUCAAUCCUGAUCUCUCAGCUCCUCUGUAACCUGCUUCUCAUCCUCUUCCCACUUCUCGAAAGUCUACUAGACAGCAUAAUCCUCCUUCCUACCUCAAGGAUUAUGUUUUCUCAUCCUCUUCCCACUUCUAGAAAGUCUACUAGACAGCAUAAUCCUACUUCCUACCUCAAGGAUUAUGUUUUUCAACUCCCUGCAUUUUCUGGUUCUUCUUCCUCCACUUUGGAAUUUGAACCUAUGUAUUACUCUCAAGCUGCAUCUGCCCCAGCAUGGCAGGAUGCAAUGAGACAGGAGUUUGCUGCACUAGAAGCAAAUCAUACUUGGGAUAUUGUCCCUCUUCCUGCUGGUAAGAAACCCAUUGAUUGUAAGUGGGUCUAUAAAAUCAAAUACAAGUCUGAUGGACUUGUUGAAAGGUAUAAAGCAAGGUUGGUUAUUAGGGGUGAUAC
rnacentral:lncRNA from 1 species